GCAUGCGGUGCUAUACAUGCAAGUCGAGCGGACAGAUGGGAGCUUGCUCCCUGAUGUUAGCGGCGGACGGGUGAGUAACACGUGGGUAACCUGCCUGUAAGACUGGGAUAACUCCGGGAAACCGGGGCUAAUACCGGAUGGUUGUUUGAACCGCAUGGUUCAGACAUAAAAGGUGGCUUCGGCUACCACUUACAGAUGGACCCGCGGCGCAUUAGCUAGUUGGUGAGGUAACGGCUCACCAAGGCAACGAUGCGUAGCCGACCUGAGAGGGUGAUCGGCCACACUGGGACUGAGACACGGCCCAGACUCCUACGGGAGGCAGCAGUAGGGAAUCUUCCGCAAUGGACGAAAGUCUGACGGAGCAACGCCGCGUGAGUGAUGAAGGUUUUCGGAUCGUAAAGCUCUGUUGUUAGGGAAGAACAAGUGCCGUUCAAAUAGGGCGGCACCUUGACGGUACCUAACCAGAAAGCCACGGCUAACUACGUGCCAGCAGCCGCGGUAAUACGUAGGUGGCAAGCGUUGUCCGGAAUUAUUGGGCGUAAAGGGCUCGCAGGCGGUUUCUUAAGUCUGAUGUGAAAGCCCCCGGCUCAACCGGGGAGGGUCAUUGGAAACUGGGGAACUUGAGUGCAGAAGAGGAGAGUGGAAUUCCACGUGUAGCGGUGAAAUGCGUAGAGAUGUGGAGGAACACCAGUGGCGAAGGCGACUCUCUGGUCUGUAACUGACGCUGAGGAGCGAAAGCCUGGGGAGCGAACACGAUUAGAUACUCUGGUAGUCCACGCCGUCGACUAUGAGUGCUGAGUGUUACCGGGUUUCUGCCCCUUACUGCUGCAGCGACGCAUUCCACACUCCUUCUGGGGAGUAAAGUCGCGACGACUGCAACUGAAA
rnacentral:rRNA from 1 species